UUCACUUAAGUAUAGGAUGUACAGGGACUUUUGAUGUCCAAGGGGGUAGUUUAAUUCUGCCAGGUGUAA
rnacentral:tRNA from 1 species